AUGCCAGGAGGGCAUAUUUUCCAGGCAGGACUAUCAGCUAGGAAAAUGCAGUCUACUGAGCACUUUCUAGAUGUUGUGAGAGACAAAAGAAGCACCUUGGGAGAUAAGACACAGCCCUUAAUAAUAACAGCAGCAGCAAGGCCAUUCAUGCAAAGGGGAACACAUGGAUUGCCACAACCCCAUUGGAAGCAUUUUUCCUUCUGUCAUCAGUAUCACGCUCUGUGGAGAGCCUCUUCCAGCCUCCAGAGGACAGGUUUUACAGGUUGCCGAGGAACUGGAUUGAUUUUGGAGAGCCUUGAAUGCCAUGUGGAGUUUGGACUUGAAGCUGAGAUUUUAAACAAUCCCGUGCUGCUGCUGACCCCAUGUUAGAUUUGCCUUGCCAUGUGAAAAAGAGCAACAUCCCACACUUGCCCGUCCUGCGCCCUUUCUUGCUUGAAGCUACAGCAACUCGCAAAACCUGUCAUCUGUCCUGGGCUGCAAGAGGCUUUGACUUUGCCUGUGCGUGGCCCCUGGAAGUCCAGAUGUUUUCACUGCAGGGGAAGGAGCUCAUUUGGGAAAAAAAAAAAAAAAAAAAAUCCAAUUGUUUGUAAUGUGAUGCAAUUUUCUCUUGAAAUCAAUUAGCAUCUCCCUAAUUCCUCUGCAUACAAUUGCUUUCAAAAAUAAAUUCCAGGUUCCAUGUUUUUUUAUGCAUUUUAUUUUUAAACAGGUUCAGACUUUAGCUUUUAAGUAGCUUAGGAUCCCAAAGCACAAACUCCUUCCUCACCACAGAUGUGAGGAUUUAUAUGUGAAAUUCCAGA
rnacentral:lncRNA from 1 species